GACGAACGCUGGCGGCGCGCCUAACACAUGCAAGUCGAACGAGCGAGAGAGAGCUUGCUUUCUCAAGCGAGUGGCGAACGGGUGAGUAACGCGUGAGGAACCUGCCUCAAAGAGGGGGACAACAGUUGGAAACGACUGCUAAUACCGCAUAAGCCCACGACCCGGCAUCGGGUAGAGGGAAAAGGAGCAAUCCGCUUUGAGAUGGCCUCGCGUCCGAUUAGCUAGUUGGUGAGGUAACGGCCCACCAAGGCGACGAUCGGUAGCCGGACUGAGAGGUUGAACGGCCACAUUGGGACUGAGACACGGCCCAGACUCCUACGGGAGGCAGCAGUGGGGAAUAUUGCACAAUGGGGGAAACCCUGAUGCAGCGACGCCGCGUGGAGGAAGAAGGUCUUCGGAUUGUAAACCCCUGUUGUUGAGGAAGAUAAUGACGGUACUCAACAAGGAAGUGACGGCUAACUACGUG
rnacentral:rRNA from 1 species